UCGUCCCUACGGGACACAGCAGUGGGGGAUAUUGCACAAUGGGGGGAACCCUGAUGCAGCGACGCCGCGUGGGCGAUGGAGUGCUUCGGCAUGUAAAGCCCUAUCAGCAGGGAAGAAAAUGACGGUACCUGACUAAGAAGCCCCGGCUAAAUACGUGCCAGCAGCCGCGGUAAUACGUAUGGGGCAAGCGUUAUCCGGAUUUACUGGGUGUAAAGGGAGCGUAGACGGCCAGACAAGUCUGAAGUGAAAAUCCAGCGCUUAACGUUGGAAGUGCUUUGGAAACUGCCGGGCUAGAGGGCAGGAGG
rnacentral:rRNA from 1 species